ensembl:lncRNA
GUGUAGUGUCCAGGUGUAUAUAUAUCUAGUCCCACCUCUUUGCCGUUGUCCAGUAGCAUGAUGUCAUCGUCAGCCAGGUCGUCCUGACAGAAGUCAGAACAUUUCUCAGACACGGCGAAGUAUCCCUUCUCAUUGGAGCAGCGGAACAGUCUGGCGUACUUCAUAUAGUCAGCGUCCUCGUCGUAUACCUUCUGACAGCCAAUCCCCACCCAGAAGAAGUUCUCCGGCUCCUCCCCCUCGUUGAUCACCUAGGAGACAGGAGCUCCGGGUCAAAGCAGGUUCUUACCAUAGAAUUAUAAUGAUGUUAACCAGACAAACUGCCUCGGUCAGAGGUUCCAUCCAUGUUAACCAGUCAAACUGCCUCGGUCAGAGGUUCCAUUCCUAUUAACCAGUCAAACUGCCUCGGUCAGAGGUUCCAUCCAUAUUAACCAGACAAACUGCCUCGGUCAGAGGUUCCAUCCAUAUUAACCAGUCAAACUGCCUCGGUCAGAGGUUCCAUCCAUGUUAACCAGUCAAACUGCCUCGGUCAGAGGUUCCAUCCAUAUUAACCAGUCAAACUGCCUCGGUCAGAGGUUCCAUCCAUAUUAACCAGACAAACUGCCUCGGUCAGAGGUUCCAUCCA